CUGUCUACACCCUCUUCCCUUCUCCCCCCCCUUUCAAAAUUCUAGAUCUGCCUAUGGGCAUGGGUAGUACUAGGAUUUUGGAAAGGGGGUGGGAGGGCACAUGGUGAGGUGCAUCAU
rnacentral:precursor_RNA from 14 species